rnacentral:rRNA from 1 species
UACGUAGGGGGCUAGCGUUGUCCGGAAUCAUUGGGCGUAAAGCGCGUGUAGGCGGUUCGGUAAGUCCGCUGUGAAAGUCGAGGGCUCAACCCUCGAAUGCCGGUGGAUACUGUCGGGCUUGAGUACGGGAGAGGCGAGUGGAAUUCCUGGUGUAGCGGUGAAAUGCGCAGAUAUCAGGAGGAACACCGAUUGCGAAGGCAGCUCGCUGGAACGUUACUGACGCUGAGACGCGAAAGCGUGGGGAGCAAACAGG